rnacentral:rRNA from 1 species
CGGUAAUUCCAGCUCCAAUAGCGUAUACUAAAGUUGUUGCAGUUAAAAAGCUCGUAGUUGGAUUUCUGCGGGGACGGAGCGGCCGGUCGCAACUUGCGACUCGAGCUAGCGCUUUCCCCGCAUCCUGCCGCGAACCGUGCUACCAUUAGUUUGGUGGCGCUGGGGAUCGGCUCGAUUACUUUGAGAAAAAUAGAGUGUUCAAAGCAGGCCACACGCCUUGAAUAAGUUAGCAUGGAAUAAUGACUAAGGACUUCGGUUCUAUUUCGUUGGUGUUCGGGACUGAAGUAAUGAUUGAUAGGGACAGUUGGGGCGGUCUGUAUUCCAAAGCGAGAGGUGAAAUUCUUAGACCUUCGGAAGACAAACAGCUGCGAAAGCGUUCCGCAAGGAUGUUCCCUUUGAUCAAGAACGAAAGUUGGGGGAUCGAAGACGAUCAGAUACCGUCGUAGUCUCAACUAUAAACUAUACCAGCUAGGGAUCGGUCAACGUUUAAUUAUUCGACUUGAUCGGCACCUUAUGAGAAAUCAAAGCAUCUGGGUUCCGGGGGGAGUAUGGUCGCAAGGCUGAAACUUAAAGGAAUUGACGGAAGGGCACCACCAGCCGUGGAGCCUGUGGCUUAAUUUGACUCAACACGGGAAAACUUACCAGGUCCAGACAUAGUAAGGAUUGACAGAUUGAUAGCUCUUUCUUGAUUCUGUGGGUGGUGGUGCAUGGCCGUUCUUAGUUGGUGGAGUGAUUUGUCUGGUUAAUUCCGUUAACGAACGAGACCCCAGCCUGCUAAAUAGCGCGGCUGAGCUUUGCUCGGUGUGAGCUUCUUAGAGGGACUAUGAUGCGCGAUAGCACAUGGAAGUUUGGGGCAAUAACAGGUCUGUGAUGCCCUUAGAUGUUCUGGGCCGCACACGGGCUACACUGGCGCCUGCAACGAGCAUAUCAGCUGGCCCGAGAGGGUCUUGGCUAAUCUUUUGAACCGGCGCCGUGCUUGGGAUUGACCUUUGCAAUUGUUGGUCAUGCAACGAGGAAUGCCUUGUAAACGCGAGUCAUCAGCUCGCAUUGAAUACGUCCCUGCCCUUUGUACACACCGCCCGUCGCUCCUACCGAUGAAUGUUCCGAUGAAAUUUUCGGAGAGCGCCAGAGAACGGGGCUCUGCCUUGCAGAUCUGGAGGCUCAAAGUCACUUAAAUCUGAACAUUUCGAGGAAGGAGAAGUCGUAACAAGGUAGCCG